AUGCCCGCCCUGCGAGGAGCACAGGUGACAGGGCUCCUGGAUGGAACCGACGCGGUGCCCCCUACCAGAGUGGAGCAGCAGCAGUCGGACAAGACCAUGGUGGCGGUGCCCAAUCCGCUCUAUGCGCCAUGGAUAUCAAAGGACCAACAUGUCCUCAGCUACCUGAUGAACUCCCUCUCGAAGGAGGUCCUCAUCCUGUUCACGGGUAAGGAAAGUACAUUUGAUCUAUGGACCGGCAUCACCACCCUCUUUGCAUCGCAGUCUCAGUCCCGCAUCACGAACUUGAGGAUCGCGAUCACCACCACGAAGAAGGGAGCUAUGUCCAGCACCGCCUACAUCUCCAAGAUGAGAAGUCUGGGGGAUGAGCUCGCAGCAGCAGGACGUCCAGUCUCUGAUCCUGAAAUGGUGGACUAUGUGCUUGCCGGAUUGGAUCAGGACUAUGAUCCAGUGGUGGCGGCAAUCGGUGCUGUCAAGACCUCCAUCAGCGUUGAUGAGCUCUUUGCUCAGAUCACAUCUUUUGACCAGCGCAUUGAGAUGCUGGCACUACUAGGAAAAGGCAUGCUAGUGGCGCACCAGUUUUGCCUAGUAAUGGCGCACUACUGGUGCGCCACUAGCAUCACGCCACUAGAAUUAAAUUCUAAUGACGCACCUCUGGUGCGCCAUUAG
rnacentral:rRNA from 1 species